rnacentral:lncRNA from 1 species
AACCAGUGGUAGAACCUGCCUAAGUUAAUUUACAAAGGGGCCGACUGGAUACGGAAAAUUGAGGAACUUCCAUCUACCCUUCAAACGGAAAGAGACGUGGCCAGAACUAAAGGAAGAAACAAUCUGCAACUUUACAGAAGGCAAAACUGACAAAGAAAUUCGUGAGUUCCUGUUAAAACCAUUAGAAAGGAUUCCAUCGAUCUAUCGUCAUGAAAUGACCAAUUUGCUCUGCAAAUACAGUACACCCGAGUCCAUAAAUAUCUACCCCCCCCCCGCCAAAAAAAAAGGCGCGAAAAAAAAGUACCGCAACAAAAUUGGUUUGGCGCUUACUGUCAUUGUAAGCUGAUUGAAAGUAUGCGUAGAGUUAGAGAUACCUUUUUUCGUCGCAAAAUAAAUGAGAAGGAUGGGCGAUAUGCAUAUUUUUUAAGCCAUACAAAAGCUUUACAAAAAUUUAAAUAUUGUAUUUCAAAGGAAUCAAAUGAUAAUUGCAAUAUUUCAGAAAAACAAGGAAGUCAAAUAAAUUAUAACUUACACUGUUAAAAAAAGAUAUCGUUUUUCGAGAGGAAAAACCCUCGAAAAACAAUUCGUCCACUUCGAGGGUUUUUAACCCUCGAUUAUGUCAGCUGAUUAAGCUGACGGUGGUCGAGGAUUAAAACCCUCGAAAUUCCUGGUAUUAAACCCUCGAAAUUUCUGGUUUUAAACCCUCAUAAUUCACAAAUAAAAACUCUUAAUCUAAUUAAAAUUUAAAUAAAAUAAAUAAUUAAAAGGAAACAAUUGAUUUAAAUUCCAUUCUUUACGAAUGAUCAAACAGCCUGUAUUUUUAAUCUUUGUUUUUCCCUUUUAAUAAACAGUGACAAAAAAGCAUAAAAGCAAGCAAUAGGCAUAACCUAUAGUACGAAUAGGAUAGAACAGGUUGGAAAAAUUGAAGCGGGAAACGAUGGAAACAGGCACAGAACUUAAGAGUAAAGCUAUAAUCUUAAAUCCUCCGGUCUGAUAUAGAAAAACAAAUGAUGGAUUAUUUAAUUGCACAUCAGUAAAUCGUUUAGCUUACCUUGCAGGAAGUUCUACUUUAACGGGCAUAAUCAAGUUGAACUUCUCUUUGAAGAAUUUGAUUUGACUGUACUGGUUUUUUAGUCCAGCAAAGAGAUCAAGUUGUGCUGGAUCGAGAGUAUAUAAGACAUCAGAAUGAUCGCACCCUGUUUCUCUCAACAUUAGAUCAGUCGCAUCCGAAAGGGUUUGCUUGAUAAAAGCCUUCACAAGGGUCUCCGUUCCCUUCAUAACUUCUUGAAUAUCCAUUUGUGUUAGUUUACGAACUGCAAGAAGAUCUCUGAUUAAUUUGCCAGCAAGAAGACCUAUUGAAACAUUCACAAAAAUAAAUUAUUUAUCAAUACUAUUUCUGUUUAUAAAACUUUACCAGUAUCCAUGUUGGGAUAUACGGGAGCAUCAUCAGGUUGUGGUUGGGCAUCACCAAGCAGAGCAACAUGUUCGAGAUACCCUUCAGCUACGUUCUGAUGUUGCUGAUGCAGAUUGCCUGAAAAGAAUAUUUGUAAAACAAAGUAUUGAAGAAAUAAAAAAGUAUAUGUACCUUCA